GCUUGAGUAUGUGAUUGUUGUUAAGAUAAUAUUUGGUUGAGUAUAGGCACAAAGUGAGCUAGAUGAGGAUCAUUACUAGUUGACUUGUUGGCACUAUGUUGUAUCACAAGCUAGUAAAUCUGUUUUCUUAUUAGCCUUGUGUCAAUUAAAAGUCAUUUAGCUAGAGAACAUUUGAGGAGCGAGCCAUCUAUUCUAUGACAGCCUGAACUAACAACAAAAAAAAAUGUUGAAACCAAGUACUUCUUUAAUUAAAUACUUUAGAUAUUUUUUUCUCUAAGAUCAUUAGUUUUUCCUUCUAAUUCUAGGUAAUCUCCCAUUUUUCUAACAUCACUUUUGGUUAUGAAUCUUGGAUUUUUAAUUUUCUGUCAUAUAGAGUGGCUUAACUGGUUUUGUUUUGCCUUUUGUUAUUUGAUAAUUAGCGAUUGAUAAAGUUGAUGAGUAAGGUCCCCUUGUUGAGAUGGAUUAAUUAGUUGUUUUGUGAUAAAGAUGAUGUUUCUUGAUGAUACUUAGUGUUGUAAUUGUAAAACUGAUCAGAUGUCUGCUAGUUUUUCGGAUUUAGGUUGAUAAUGUUGACAUUCUGUAGUGUAGAAAGGAAAUUUUCUCACGCCUGCUAGCUGCCGCUAUGACAGUUCCUUGAGUAAUACCAUACUCUGUAUUUGUACGACUAUUUUUGAUUGUUGCCAUACAAGUUUAAUGAUGAUUGGUAUGCGCGGUGCUUCUCAGGUCUAUUGACUAAGAAAUUUGUCGCUUUGAUAAAGCAUGCAGAGGAUGGUGAACUUGAUCUAAACAAGGCGGCUGACACUUUGCAGGUGAUUAAACUUGAGCUAGAAGAAUUCUGUAUUUGACAUGAUUAUAAAUAUUGGGAUCACAUAUACUGCGGAAUUCAUCUUAUACUGUAUAUUUCUCAACCCAGCUGGACUCAGCUUCAGGAGGUACUCUUCACUAUGCGGUCGCGAGUAGCUCAACACUUAUAUAGUUGAAGGACAAGAUACAAGAUUAUAGAGCUUAUAGAGAGGUGCUGGUUUUAGAAGGCAACGGAAGCCCUAGAUUUUUUUUUAGUUGGGCUCAAAACAUUUUGUAUGAAUGUUUUGUGAUAUAUAUAAUAUAUGUUAUUGAUGGUUUUAUCA